UUCCAAUGAUGUAGUACAUGUGAAAAUGCA
rnacentral:piRNA from 1 species